CUCAAGAUGGCUGUGCCUGUCAGCUGCAUGGAGCUUCGUUCAAGUAUUUUCUGAGCCUGAUGGAUUUACAGUGAUCUUCAGUGGUCUGGGGAAUAACGCUGGUGGAACCAUGCACUGGAAUGACACACGCCCGGCACAUUUCAGGAUACUAAAAGUGGUUUUAAGGGAGGCUGUGGCUGAAUGCCUCAUGGAUUCUUACAGCUUGGAUGUCCAUGGGGGACGAAGGACUGCAGCUGGCUGAGAGGGUUGAGAUCUCUGUUUACUUAGAUCUCUGCCAACUUCCUUUGGGUCUCCCUAUGGAAUGUAAGACCCCGACUCUUCCUGGUGAAGCAUCUGAUGCACGUUCCAUCCGGCGCUCAGCUGGGCUUGAGAAUCCUGUUACACCUGGGAUUUAGGCACUUUCAAUCUGAAAAAAUACAUAUCCUUUCAGCACUCUGGACGGACUUGAGAACUGUCCUUACGUGACCUAAAGCUGGAGUAUUUUGAGAUUGGAGAAUUAAGGCCAACAGAGAUUUUGAGAAACACAUUGAAGGAUCUGUUAACACUUGAUAUACCCAAUAAAAGCAGUGGUUGUGCCAGUGCUGAUCUGUCUUGAUGUGAAUGUGAACAAUGGGAACCUGAGCUGAGCAGUUAAUGUUAGGGUGACAGAAACUGGACCUCUCCCAAGACAUGUGACAGAGUAAUACAGCAGCCAACUUCUUCGCCAAAUUAAAGUUUUACAAGAUUUAACCUGUCAUCAAGACCUGGGAUUUUGGUGAGCCAGUCUUGGUGCUCUGUGUUCACCUGGUUCAUCUGAGGAGCUGCAUCUACCCUGCCCAUGCCAUAGAUCCUGCCCUGUUUGCUUCUCCUGUUGCUGCUAGUGGACAUGAGAAGGACAGAAUAACGGGCUCCCAGAUUCACAAGCCCCACCAAGAGGAUCACCCCAGGAACGCUUGGAGGCUGAGGAGUUCACUGAGGCUACUGCAUCUUGAGACUCAGGAUGAAGACCCAGCUUGGGGCUGUCAAAGGUUUUUUGCAUGUCUGACACCCAUGACUCCACCUGGACCUUAUGGCUCCACCCAGAAGCAAUUCAGCCCAACAGGAGGACAGCUUCAACCCAUUACGAUUUCAUCUCUGCCCCAACCACUCAGCAGCAAGCACCUGUUACCUGUCCACCCCCACCCCUUCCCCCAAACUGCCUUUGAAAAAUCCCUAACCUAUGAGCUUUGAAUAAGAUGAGUACGAACUUCAUCGCCCACGUGGCGUGGCCGGCCUCGUGUCUAUUAAAUUCUUUUUCUACUA
rnacentral:lncRNA from 1 species